rnacentral:tRNA from 1 species
GGGCCUGUGCUGUAAUGGAUAGCAGACUCGGCUUCGGACCGGGCAGUGGGGGUUCGAAUCCCCCCAGGCUCA